rnacentral:tRNA from 1 species
GGGGAUUUAGCUCAGCGGUAGAGCCCUUGCCUAGCAAGCGCAAGGCCCUAGGUUCAAUCCCCA